GGGGGGACUUCUUUUUGUGCAGCAGCAUGCAUUUGUCCGUUGUUUUGCUCUCAAACUAGGGCCCCAUGACUCUGUAAUAAUUCUUCUAAGGAUGGCAUUUGUUAUGGUUAUUAAAAUGUGGUAUUUUGCUUUUAUGUAGUGCUGAGUCAUGAUUUACAUUGCAAUCUUACAGGGGAUAGAAAGAUUGGCAAAGCAGGAAAUGGUAUUCCUUGGCAGAGAUUUUUUGCAUUGGUACUAGGAAGUGUUGGCAUAAUCGGAAUUGGAGCUGUAGGAUGGCGCCUAUAUCAAAACAGGGAUGGCAAGACUGAUGACACAGCAGGAAAUGGUCCUGGACCAGGCAGCAGCAGAGACACGGACUCUCAAAAUGGUGAAUCGGGAGGAUUGAUGGGCAAAUCAACAGUUUGAGGUAAGCCUUUCUUAACUUUUUCACAAUGAGUUUCCUCUGCUCUUGAACAAUCAAUCUACUCAGAGGAUGCUUGGGGGAUGUCCUAACAUUCCUUUUAAAUGGCUUCCCGGUACGCAACGGCACCUUGACAGACUUUAGACGGAUUUAGACGGAUUUUACCUGGGUCCACAAGUUUAAAAAAGUGAAUCCAUUGUCUAA